rnacentral:rRNA from 1 species
UACGAAGGGUGCAAACGUUGCUCGGAAUUAUUGGGCGUAAAGCGCACGUAGGCGGCUCGGCAAGUCGGAUGUGAAAUCCCUCGGCUCAACCAAGGAAGUGCAUCCGAAACUGCUGAGCUUGAGUUCUUAAGAGGAUCGCGGAAUUCCCGGUGUAGAGGUGAAAUUCGUAGAUAUCGGGAGGAACACCAAUGGCGAAGGCAGCUCGCUGGGACGGUACUGACGCUGAGACGCGAAAGCGUGGGGAGCGAACAGG